GCAUCGAUGAAGAACGCAGCCAGUUGCGAUAAGUAGUGUGAAUUGCAGAAUUCAGUGAAUCAUCGAAUCUUUGAACGCAAAUUGCGCUUUCUGGAUAUCCAGGGAGCAUGCCUGUCUGAGCGUCGUGUAAUAAUCUACGCAUCCCGGUGUGGGUAGGGAGGGAGCUCAAGCGAAUAUUCCUUGUUUGGCUCUCGAUGUAACUGAACCUAGUGGUGUGCACUGUGCAUUGCUUGGAAGGCUCAACUGCUUCUGUCCUUCUUCAGCAGUGCUGGUGUCGCAACACACUAGUGUACCAUUUCUGGCCUUCCGCCUGAAAACUACUAUAUUUUGACCUCAGAUCAGACAAGACUACCCGCUGAAUUUAAGCAUAUCAAUAAGCGGAGGA
rnacentral:rRNA from 1 species